CCUACGGGAGGCAGCAGUGGGGAAUAUUGACAAAGGGGGGGAACCUGGAUCCAGCAAGCCGGCGUUUUGGAAAAAGGCCCCCGGGUUGUAAAGCACUUCCAGUGAGGAAAACCCCCGGUUGGUUAUUCCCCAUCAGGAAAGACAUCACCCACAGAAGAAGCACCGCCUAACUCCGUGCCAGCAGCCGCGGUAAUACGGAGGGUGCGAGCGUUAAUCGGAAUUACUGGGCGUAAAGCGCGCGUAGGUGGCUUGAUAAGCCGGUUGUGAAAGCCCCGGGCUCAACCUGGGAACGGCAUCCGGAACUGUCAAGCUAGAGUGCAGGAGAGGAAGGUAGAAUUCCCGGUGUAGCGGUGAAAUGCGUAGAGAUCGGGAGGAAUACCAGUGGCGAAGGCGGCCUUCUGGACUGACACUGACACUGAGGUGCGAAAGCGUGGGUAGCAAACAGGAUUAGAUACCCUUGUAGUC
rnacentral:rRNA from 1 species